CGCAAAUUAUAUUUCCCGCAUCAACAAAUAGUCUGUCAGUAUAAUUUCGUUAGUGGAAGGAGGAACAUUGCUUGUCACCGAUCGCCAGUCUCAAAACUAUAUUUUGAUCUAUAUUAUUCAAUUAAUUUGUACGAAAAAAGAGGCGAAAAAGUAACAAUCUGAUUUCACUUUGUGUAUAUAGAAACGGCAAUCAUUCCAAACGGUAUAGCAAGAACGUGUGCGUAAGCAAUGGAGGAACACCUGUUGAUGUGCUAUGGUGACACUGCGAGUCUGGCCAGUGCACUUUCGAAAAGAGACAUCAAUGCAUUCCGACGCGUACUUCAAUCGCCAUCGGACGUGGAAAAAUAUGAUACUGAAUCACAAAUGUCGAUCUUUGAAAUGGCCUGUCAAACUCCCGGUUGCGCCGAAUUCAUUCUCGAAUGCAUUCAAGUCGGCUGUGAUGUU